AAAGGAUUGUAGAGGCUAGCUUUUGGCGAGGCGCCUAUCGAGCCAAAACUAUUAACGGAAAGCCCGACCCCAU
rnacentral:misc_RNA from 1 species